UCCAAUGGAGGUUGACCGUGUUUGACCCUGACUCUGGAGGCCAAACAUUAAAUAGUCAAAACUAUUCCAUUUAUUGACCCUGUUGGCUCAACCAAUAAUUCACAUCAGUGUUUUUACAAAAAUUGGAGCAACUUUAAUUUUUGACCCCAUACAAAUAGAAAUUGACUUUUGUCCCCAUUUUUUUCUGUUUUUACCCC